CACAAACAACAUAAAUUAAUUUUCGUAGUCUUACUAAAAGACGCACAGCAGAACUCUCAUCCUCGUAUCCGGGAACUGCAUACCGAGACUGUCCAAUGACUCGCACUAUAAUGCUAAAAAACCAAGCCAUGUAGUUCUCGGUAUAUGAACGGCCUCUCAAAAUGGGAUCACUAUGAAUAAUGUGAUCUCGACGUGCAUCCCAA
rnacentral:lncRNA from 1 species